AUACACUCAGUCUUCAGGAGGAGGCAUCCCCUCUGGGUGCAGAACUUCCGCUGUGGCUGCUUGCUCAGGAUAAACUGGUGGGACCAUGACUCAUUUUGUCACUGGGACCACAGGAGGAGGGGCCAGAAGACAAUGAAGUGUGCGGUGAGCACUCUCACAUUUCAUUAGAUGCACUGUCUCUGAACCAGCUUACUCAGAACUUCAGGAUGGCGGUGUGCAGUUACCAACUGUUAAGUCAAAGAUUCUGGACUGUUUAGGAUGCUUCACCGUGUGCUCCAUAAGCUACUCAUCUGAUGUUUCAUAGGAAGCAGAAGAAAUUCCCAGCAAAGUGACCUGUGUUGCAAGACUCAAAAGAGGGAGAGAGGGAGUUGGCUCAGCUGGUGAAGAGCUUGAUGGACAUGAAGACCUGAGCUUGGAUCUCCCAACAUCUUUGUGAAAGGACGGGCACAGCCCCUGAAUCUCCAGAGCUGUGACAAUGGAAGCAAUGGAUCCUCAGAGCUUGCUGGCCAGCCAACCUGCUUGAGUUCAGCUCUAGAUUCUCUGUGACCCUGACUCAAAAACUAAGGCAUGGAGUGACUGAAGAAGAGAUCUGAUGUCAACCACUUGUUCUUAUUUACACACACACCACACACACACACACACUCUUAAAUAAAAAUUAAAUUAUUUGUUGAAAAUGAUAAAAAGAUGAACACCAUACAGUUAGAAG
ensembl:lincRNA D6Ertd474e DNA segment, Chr 6, ERATO Doi 474, expressed